rnacentral:rRNA from 1 species
UACAGAGGGUGCAAGCGUUACUCGGAAUUACUGGGCGUAAAGCGCGCGUAGGUGGUUUGUUAAGUUGGAUGUGAAAUCCCCGGGCUCAACCUGGGAACUGCAUUCAAAACUGACAAGCUAGAGUAUGGUAGAGGGUGGUGGAAUUUCCUGUGUAGCGGUGAAAUGCGUAGAUAUAGGAAGGAACACCAGUGGCGAAGGCGACCACCUGGACUGAUACUGACACUGAGGUGCGAAAGCGUGGGGAGCAAACAGG